rnacentral:lncRNA from 1 species
CAUAUCAAGGGAUCUAUAUUUCCUCAAGCACCCAGUUUUCGGCCACAACAUGAAGAGCAGCAACGACUUCAUCGGGAGGAUCGUCAUUGGCCAGUACUCUUCAGGCCCCUCUGAGACCAACCACUGGAGGCGCAUGCUCAACACGCACCGCACAGCCGUGGAGCAGUGGCAUAGCCUGAGGUCCCGAGCUGAGUGUGACCGCGUGUCUCCUGCCUCCCUGGAGGUGACCUGAGGGCUGCAGGGAAGGCAGCUUUCAUUUGUUUAAAAAAAAAAAAAAAGACGGAAAAAAAUGUGUCACAUACUAUUACAUCCACACCUGCAUACACACUCGCAACAUGUCUACACACGUCCACACACACAGACACACAGACACCCCAAAUCCUCUCAGAACUGAGAGGAAGCUGACUAUUGAUCACAAAAUGGCCACCCUCAGUGAGUGAGGCCUAGGAACUUUCCGGAAGCCCCAUCCAUAGAUCACAAGCUCAGUGGGCUCUGCCGUGGGACUUAUUGGCAGUGCCUGCUCUUGUCAAUACUCCUGCCCCAAAAUGCACUUUCAACCCUCAGGCCAGAGAAAGGACCUCCCAAAGGGUGCCAACCUCCAUCAAGACUAAAUUUACCAAGAAUUUGGCCAGUGUGUGGGAGACUUGAAC